rnacentral:rRNA from 1 species
AUGAUUCCCAAGACAGCUAGUCCAAAAAUAUUAGGUCAAUUUCGUCCUAUAAGCCUUUGUAACGUGAUCUACAAAAUCGCCUCAAAGGUUCUUGCUAAUAGGUUGAAAGAUAUUCUUCCUAAUGUCAUCUCUGAAGACCAGUCGGCUUUUGUUCCUGGACGUCUUAUCAUUGACAUUUUUAUCACAGCCUAUGAGUGCUUGCACUAA